UGGUUCUGGCAUNGAUGAAGAACGCAGCGAAAUGCGAUAAGUAAUGUGAAUUGCAGAAUUCAGUGAAUCAUCGAAUCUUUGAACGCACAUUGCGCCCUUUGGUAUUCCGAGGGGCAUGCCUGUUCGAGCGUCAUUUCAACCCCCAAGCACUGCUUGGUGUUGGGCCUGGCCUUCAGUGGCCUGCCCUAAAACCAGUGGCGGCGCCAUCUGGCUCCAAGCGCAGUAAACCUCUCGCUAUGGUGUCCUUGUGGAUGCUUGCUGUAGCCUAAAUCGUCUAUGGUUGACCUCGGAUCAGGUAGGGAUACCCGCUGA
rnacentral:misc_RNA from 1 species